ACUGUAUUUUUCUUUCUUCAUCUCCUCUUCCUCCAACAGCCUCAAGGGCUUGUUAAAUUUUUCCUCCAAUGUCUUGGCUAACUUCUUCUUCGUUGUUCCAUUCCUGUCAUUGCCAUUGCCUUUCUCCACGUCCUACUUCACUGCGCUGGGAGACAGUGGGAGAAUUUCAGUUAAAAAUCUUCAUGUGAGAGUUUUGGCUGACUAAACAAAGAGUGCACGGUCUGGUGGGGAAGACACACAUUUGGAGAUGACAGUGCUGUGACCAGGGAGCUCACACAGUGCUGCAGACCACAUGGAGGGAGGCCACACUGGGAAUGCUCAAGCAUGUUUUCUACAUUGGAAGACAUAUUUAAAAUCUCAGUAGCCCAAACUGAAAGGUGCAUGCCUGGGUGAGCACAGCCAUACCGACCACACAUACAAAAGAAAGACAUUCUCUAUCAACUCCAACCAAGCUGGAGUUGGUUCUUCCAGAGGAGCUAAGAAUGGUGACCAAUUGACUUCCAUGACACUGAAUAAGUGAUGUCUUGCUUUAUGAUAUUUGGCUUCUGUUAUUACAAAUAAUUAAUACCAGAUAAAGUUGGGCCAUGAUAAAUGCUAUGAUAAUCUCUUUAGGGCAAAGGACUGUGUGCUGUAUGAAACAUUCAAAAUUGGAUUUUUUUUUUCUACUAAGACUCUGAAACUUCAAAGGCAGCCUGAUGACUGUACAUGGAAAAGAGUUUUCUUGGAACAUGGCCAACCUUUUCUUAGUUGAUUGUUUCUGAAUUAAUCUUAUUUAAUCAUCUCUGAUGCCCUGCACUGUGGCUCCCUUUCGCACAGAUUGGAUGGUUCUCUGGCCGGACUGCACGGAGCAUGUUUCGGGAGGUAAGAUGCAGCAAACGUAAACUGAAGUGGAUGGCUCUCCUUCGAGGACAACAUUUAUUUCCGCCAGAUCCUGACUGACUUCCUGAGAGCCUACGGUUCCAGACAGCAAUCAGAGGAUAGUGUUGCUAAAUUGGUCAGCACAGAAAUUUUGAGAUUAAAACCCAAAGUCCAGAAUUCUUCAGCAGAUGGAGAAAUGGAGCCUGAAGGAGACUGACUUACAUUGAGGGUUGGCUAUGAAUUAGAGGCAGGUCAAGGCAAGAAAAGCCCAGGUCAUCCUUGACGGACUCAUAUUCUACAGGAGGUACAGAGACUUUUGUCUUUCCCGAUUCUUUCUACUCCUGGUUCCAAAUCCCAGGUUUUGCUGAUGAAAUAAACUGAGAGAUGGAGUUUAA